GAUGAACGCUGGCGGCGUGCCUAAUACAUGCAAGUCGAGCGAACAGAUGAGGAUCUUGCUCCUCUGACGUUAGCGGCGGACGGGUGAUUAACACGUGGAUAACCUACCUAUAAGACUGGGAUACCUUCGGGAACCCUGAUCUAACACCGGAUAAUAUAUUGAACCUCAUGGUUCAUUAGUGAAAGACGGUUCUGCUGUCACUUAUAGAUGGUACCGGGCCGCAUUAGCUAGUUGGUAAGGUAACGGCUUACCAAGGCGACGAUGCGUAGCUGACCUGAGAGGGUGAUCAGCCACACUGGAACUGAGACACGGUCCAGACUCCUACGGGAGGCAGCAGUGGGGAAUAUUCGACAAUGGGCGAAAGCCUGACGGAGCAACGCCGCGUGAGUGAUGAAGGUCUUCGGAUCGUAAAGCUCUGUUAUUAGGGAAGAACAAAUGUGUAAGUAACUAUGCCCGUCUUGACGGUACCUAAACAGAAAGCCACGGCUAACCACGUG
rnacentral:rRNA from 1 species